GAUGAACGCUGGCGGCGUGCCUAAUACAUGCAAGUAGAACGCUGAAGGAGGAGCUUGCUCUUCUGGAUGAGUUGCGAACGGGUGAGUAACGCGUAGGUAACCUGCCUGGUAGCGGGGGAUAACUAUUGGAAACGAUAGCUAAUACCGCAUGACAACAGUUAUUGCAUGAUAACUGUUUAAAAGGGGCAACUGCUCCACUACCAGAUGGACCUGCGUUGUAUUAGCUAGUUGGUGAGGUAACGGCUCACCAAGGCGACGAUACAUAGCCGACCUGAGAGGGGGAUCGGCCACACUGGGACUGAGACACGGCCCAGACUCCUACGGGAGGCAGCAGUAGGGAAUCUUCGGCCAUGGACGGAAGUCUGACCGAGCAACGCCGCGUGAGUGAAGAAGGUUUUCGGAUCGUAAAGCUCUGUUGUAAGAGAAGAACGAGUGUGAGAGUGGAAAGUUCACACUGUGACGGUAGCUUACCAGAAAGGGACGGCUAACUACGUG
rnacentral:rRNA from 1 species